rnacentral:lncRNA from 1 species
UUGUGCUGUUGUUGUGCCCAUAAGCAGGUAUUGCCCUCUUUGGAUGCCCACCAUUCCAGGGUUUAUCACCCAAAGGUAUGUACACCUCCUCAGUGGUACCUUUUGGCCUUUUAUCUGCCACCAAUUUCAUGGUUCCCAAAGCUGAAUGAAAGUAUAAGGCUAAAUAAGUAGCAUAUUUGGCUCCUCAACUACAACUUUGUACCAAGCACCAAAAUAUGAUCCAGCACAUAUUCUCCAUAUAACCUAUACUUGCCCUAUCAUAAACAUUGAUAACAUCACAGUUGAAGCCUUUCAAAGCAGGGGAAAUUCAUAUAAAGAUUGGUAGAAAAUAUGCCAAUCUACCGGACCGGAAAGCUGAAAAGCAACAUUAAAAGAGAGCUGCAAUAAAACUAGUUCCAAACUGCUGCAGUAUAUAUAUCAUUUGAUUCAUUUAACUCAUACCUCAAAGUCAAAAGCAAGAGAGUCGAUAUAUAGUGAGUCACUUAGUCACUGCUAUUUUUGGGAACACUGAGGCUGGAAGUGAAAACCCCAAAUUGCAGCUCAGUGAACUCUGUUGUGUUUAUGUUAAAUUGAGCUCUUUAAUGCCAUGUUGUAACGUGUACCGCAUCCCUCCAUUCAUCCUGCAAGGAUCAAUACCAUGUCUACAGUGAUGACGAAAUCUGUUGGCACUGAUAUCCUUAUGCAAUAACAGAAAUCUAUCUACAAAGAUCAACAAACUAUCACGUAAAAGACUUGUUCUUCUGAAACACCAUUGGUUAAUAGUACAACGAAAUCUCAAAUACUUUUAACUAAAAUCCCAUUCCCAUAUCCCAAUUUCAUAGCAACUGCUUAGAAAUUAGAAGAUGCAGAUGAAAACAGAACAUUCAAUUUGCUGAAUAAAUGAUGCAGAGAAUUGACUAACCGCUUUACAACAUCAAAUAAGCUGAAGCAAACCAGUUGAAGGUCUCCUCUAUUUUUCGCCAGUUUAGCCUUCAAUGCCUGCAAAAAAGUAAAUACAAAAUAUAUAACACCGAUUUCUAUUAUCGUGUUGUUCAUGAGGACAAUCAGAUAUAUAUAAAGAAAAGGUAUGAAAUUGAUAAAUGUUUAAAAUGCGUUUCGCACCUGUGGUUUGAGUGUGGAGAAAUCGAUGCUAGAUUUUGCUGCUUAAAUUUCAAUGUAAUUCCCUCGGGUUGACUAUUUCACCAUCAAUUUGAGCAAAAGGUAUGUGGGCAAUCUUGGACCACUCUCGUCCUUUACCCCUACUGCACCCUUUUUCUAGCAACGGGCAAUCAUGAAUUGAUAGACGCUCAAGCGAGAGAAGCAUAUCUUUUUCCGGAAGAGAUUUGAGCUUAGGACAAUCAUCGACUCGCAAUUUUUGAAGAGAGGUCAGGUAUUGAAAGCCCUUGGAGCACAUGAAUUCCAAAUUCUCAAAAUUGUCAAUGGAAAUAGAUGUGAGAGAAGGAGGCAGCGUCAUUCCUAUCCCUUCUUCUGGAAACGACACCACAUUUGAGCAUCCUUCACCGUUGAUUUUGAGUUUCUGAAGAGAGGUGAGUCUGUUAAAUCCCCAUUGAACAAGUGAUGUAUAAAUUUUGGGUGCGUUUGAGAUUGCAAGUGAUGUGAGGUUGGCAGGGAAACCCUCUUCUGGAAAGAAGUCAACCGAACAAUAAGACACCUUUAAUUCUCGAAGGGAGGUGAAGUUGUUGAUCCACUUGGGAAGGACUCCAAAAUUUUCACAAUCCUCAAUUGCGAAAACUCUGAGAUUUGUGGUGGGCAACCCACUUUCUUCAAAUGAAACCAGAUUUGGACACCAACAUAAUUGAAUCUCCUGAAGAUGGCUGAGCUUGUCCAAUCCCCGCGAUAAUGAUUUAAUUUUUCCAGCACCAUUAAUACGAAUGAUUUCGAGAUCAGUGGUUUCAAGGAAGUCUUGGGCUAUGCAUUCCAACACUGGACAAUCCCAAAUUAAUAGCUGUUUAAGCAUUACGGGUAACUUGGCGUUUAAAAAUAACCUACUUAGCUUUGAACAACGGUAAAUAUUAAGACGUUGAAGCCGAUUGCAUAUAUCGCCCCUUGAUGAUAACCAUAUUAGAGAUGGACAGCACCUUAUUUCCAAACGCUCAAGAAGACAAGUGUUGCUACUCAUACUCUUAUUAUUAUUUUCUUUUUCAUCAACCAAAUAUUGCAAAUUCCUGCAAUUCCGAAUCCACAGCUCUUUUAAAGCAGGCGGAAAGUUACUCUCUGCAAAACAAACCAAGCCUGGACAUUUUUGAAGUUGCAUUCUUGUAAUCAAUGGGAAAGCAUGUAAGGCUUCUGGUAGUCUGAGCCUUUCACAAUUAUAUAUUAGAAGAGAUUCAACACCUGGAAUCUUGUCAAGUUGCAAUCUCUCCUCUGUUUCCAAACAGACCAAUUGGGGACAACCCGCAAUCGUAAUAAAACGAUGCCCGACUAAUCUUAACCCAAUUUGCGAUAAAGAUCCCAGCUCCUUCCAACCAGAUAUCUUGAAUGUUUCGGAGUUUGCAAAUCUCAACAUUAUCCUCUCUGCUGAAAUAUUAAAAUUUGAAAUAUUUGAAACAAACACAUCUUUCAAGGAGGUAACCUUCUGUACAGACAAAGAACCUUCAUCCACCAAUUCUUCACACCCUUCAACCCAUAUUUUACGCAGCAAGGGAAAACAAGAAAUUGAAACUACCAGUCUCUUACACUCAUAGAUUUCAAGUGUCUGCAAGGAUUGAAGGAUGGUUGGCAACCUUCCCAACAAUAGAGGACAUCUUUUAAUUGAAAGCUUACGAAGGCUGGGAAAUUUCGAAACUUGCUCAUCGUCUUCACAUAGGUUCCACUCCUCCCAAUUCAGCAUAUUGUCAAAACACAGAGACUCUAGUGAUGCAAAAGCAUUUGAUUGAUUUUCUCCAAACAACUCAGCACCAAUCUUGUGUACUUGAUCCAAACCACUAAUUGAAAGAUCUUUUAACCACAACAACCUUCCAAUCGAUGGUAGAGAUUUGCAAUUUUUACAAUUGCGAAGCUCCAAUGACAACAUAUUUUCGAAGGAAGAAUCUGCAAUCCAAGUAGAGAAUUUCGCACCACCAUAAUUCUGAAUGACGAGUUGCUCAAGCUUUUUUGGAGGACGAAGAGAGUCCAACACCCAUUCUUCAACUUCUUUAUUCCUUGAAGCCUUUUCAAAUUUUUCACUCCAAUGCAAUACCAAUCGACGAAUUCCCCGCUUCUCAUUUAACUUGGUUUCCCCUGCAUCUUCACCAUUAACAUUCUCCAACCCAGAAAGACGGAAAUCACCUUUGAGGUUUGACAAAUAUUUCAAACCUCUAAUAUAACAACCAUCACCUUCCCCUAUUAUAAAAUCAGUUAACCUUUGAAGUUUCGUUAGCUUAUCAAUUCUAAAAGGAAUCCUUUCUAUUGAGUCCGCACCUCUGAUAUCAAGAUAAUGCAAGUUGACAAGAUUUCCCAUCUUUGAAGGUAACCUUUGAAGCCAGUAACACCCUCUUAAUAAUAAAGUUUCCAAAUGGUAAAGAGUGCACAAAGAAUCAGGUAAGCAUUUGAUAUGGGUGUUGGAAAAAUUUAAGUAGCGAAGAUGUUUUAAAUUUUCAAAAACAUCAGGCAACUCAGUGAUCCAAUACCCACUCAAAGAAAGCAUCCUUAAGUAGCCAAGUCUUGGUAGCAAAUCAACCAAAACAACAUUAGUUAAAAAAGGCCCCCGAUAAUCACUAGAAAACAUUAAGGGUAAAAAAGUACGUAAAGAAUUCACUUGAUCAAAUGCUUCAAACUUCUUCACUGUGUCAUAUGUUCCAGCAAUAUAAGAAGAAUGUCGAGUGCGAUUUGAGAACUUCCAUUUCUUAUCACCCUCUAAUUUUGAGCAUAUUUCCCCUGCAACUACUUGAGCUAAAUCAUUGAUUAGGUCAUGCAUUACGAAUCGGGACUUAUCUUUACUGGAUGUCUGAAAAAAUGACCUGGACACUAGAUCUUGAAAAUAUUGAUUUCCGAGAUCUUUAAUUUGAGGCAUAGCUUUUUGUUGCAAGAGACCUUCUGCUCCCCAUAACAAGAUAAUUUCUUCUUCCUCAAAUUCAUAACCUUUAGGAAGUAUGGAGCAAUAUGCAAAACAUCGUUUCAAGUAUGACGGAAGAUGAUGGUAGCUUAAUCGCAAAGCUGGAAUUAUGCCACACUGCUCUUCUGGUAAGUUCCAUAUCUCACUCUCGUAUAUUCUUUCCCAUCCUGCAUAGUCUUUAACUGUGCGUAGCAAGCUUCCGAUGGCUUUUGCAGCCAAAGGUAAGCCACUGCACCUUCUAACAAUUUUCUCCCCAAUUUCUUUAAACUGGAGAUCUCUAUCGAAAUUUCUUUCUUUUAAUGCAUGCUGUGUAAAUAUGGAUAAACAAUCAUCAUCCGAGAGUUUAUCCAAAUGAAAAGCUUUGAGCGGAUCCACAAUAGAUGAAACAAUUUGAAGACGAGUGGUUACAAUGAUAUGGGUCCCUGCUCCAAACGGAGACCGUAAGAUGGUCCAAUCAUUAUAAUUCUCGUUCCAAAUGUCAUCUAAAACAAGCAAGAAUCUUUUCCCAGACAACUUCUCCUUCAACUUAACUUGAAGUAAAUUCAAGUCAUUCUCGUCACGAGAGUCAGGAUCGAUGGAUUUUAAAAUUGUCCUGGUUAUAUUAACUGCGUUAAAUUUAUCAGAAACGCAUACCCAGGCCUUGUGGUGAAAAGACUGGUUGAUGGUGGCAUCAUUGUAAACAAGCUGAGCAAGAGUUGUUUUACCCAUCCCUCCCAUGCCGACGAUGGAAAGGACUGAAACUCCGUUGGAGUUAUCACCUUUGAGAAACUCAAUCAUUUCUGUCUUCUCCUUGUGUCUGCCAACAUAAUCCACAACUCCAUCCAGUACGGAAGUUGGUUGCAGCCUAGGUUGCUUUCCCUUGGGGGUUGGAGCUUGAGACAAGAUCUCACUCAACCCCAAACUACUUCUUCGAGUAGUCAAACUAUUCAGUCUAGCAGUGAUCUCUUUCACCUUUGGAAUCAUGGAAUUCUGAAACAGGAAAGAAGUGGGAGGGAAAAUACUACGAAUAAUCCUUUCAGGAAUGAAUUUCCGUAUCUUACUAGGUCUGGCUUGAGCUUGAGUGUCUUGGAGAUUGAGGCGUAACUCUUCAUAAGCGAACUCGUCCAAGAUGUCAUCCACAUCGUAUGCCAAGUCCUGGAGAUCCUCCAACCAUUUCUUCACACCCAUGUUCUUGAUCUGCUUCCCCUCUGCAUCGUCCAACACUGCUUGGAUAUCAGGCAAUAUGGACUGCCACUGCUUGAGCUGCUGGUGGAGUUGGUAGUGAUCAGCAACAAAGUUGAGUGCAGAGUCAAGCGAUUUGCCCACCAACAGGUCCAGGAACCCAGAAAGAGCAGCCUCUCCAAUGACAGACAUGGUGGAAUUGUGAGAAAUAAGGGGACAAGAGAAAUGAGCAAAGCCAAAAUGGAAAGUCAGGGAACAAAAAAGAAAGAAAGGGAAAUGGAAUCUGCAAAAUUAGAGAAAGUUGAAGAAAUUGGCACAGUAUCCUUGAAGCAUGUCAUUUAAUAAUUCAGACUCUGAAGCAAUGAGUUGGAAGUCUUUUCGUGUUAAUGGGGAAGGAAAAAUGGAAAUGAUGGGACCUUUGCAUUUGAAUUUUGAUGCUCUUCUUUUCUCUUGCUUUUGGUCAUUAUCCUAAAUAUGUAAUUUAAUUAAACAUCAAAAUAUUAUAUUUCUCACAACUAUAUCGCCAAAAUAUAGCAAACACCAAGACCAUAUUUGGUUCGCUGUAAUAGAAUAGAGGCGUAAUGGAAUAGAGACGUAAUAGGUAAUUCUUUUGUUUGGUUGAGUGGAAUGGAAUAGAGGCAUAAUGGUAUUCUUGUGUUUGGUUGAAUGGAAUAGAGGUGUAAUAGCAUAAGGAAAAAAGCUAAAAUGACUAGAAUACCCUUAACAGAAUUUUUGUAAGUAAAUGAUUAUUGUUAUUGUUAUUAAAUUUUAAUAAGAUUAUUAAUAUAAAUAAUAAAUAAUUUAAUCAUAUUUUAACAUGGUUGUUAUUAAAUAUAAUUUAAUAAAAAUAUAUAAUUUAAUAAAAUUGUUAAUAAAUAUUCUUAUAUGAAUUUACUAAAAUCAUAAUAUAUAAUAUUAUAAAAUAUAAUUUAAAAUAAUUAUUAGUAAAUAUCAUUUAAUAAUAAUAUAUAAUUUAAUAAAAUUCUUAUUUUUAUAUGAAUUUACUAAAAUCAUAAUAUAUAAUACUAUAAAAUAUAAUUUAAAAUAAUUAUUAGUAAAUAUAAUUUAAUAAUAAUAUAUAAUUUAAUAAAAUUCUUAUUCUUAUAUGAAUUUAUUAAAAUCAUAAUAUAUAAUACUAUAAAAUAUAAUUUAAAUAAUUAUUAUUAAAUAUAAUUUAUAAUCUACUUUAUUAUUUUUAAACUGCAAUACAUAUUUAAUGUGGUAAAAUAUCAUUUGUGGAACAAAUAAUUUAAUUAUUCUACAAUAAAAAAAUAUUAGCAGUAAUAAAUAACUUUAGAAUUAUAUUUUGCAUAAACAUAAUUUUCACAUAUUAACAAACUGUUAAAUGAAAUUCAUGAAAUUCUAUAUCACAAUCCAUAUGUUAUACAGUUUUGCCACAUCAAAAAGUUAAAACAUUGUAAUAACAUAUCAUCCCAAAUAUUACAAACAGAAAAAGUUACGAAAAUGUCAUCAACAAAACCAUAAUUUUUAAUGGUCAGCAAGAAUUCUUCUGACCCAUUCCAACCGUACAUUCAGAAGGUAAACUAAAGAAAACGAGCAUUUGAGUUGGAUGAUCUGUAAUUUUACUCAAUGCUCGAAACCGCUCAUCCACAGUUAAACCUUCUAUUUCACAUAAGGUUGGAUAUAAAUUUGUAGCUUUUUCUUGGAUGGUAUGGAAUUCUUCUGACCUUUGUUGAACUACCACAUCAGAGGCAAUACUCCUACUGAUUUGUUCGCCAAUGGCCCGCAUGUUAUCAGUCAAUAAAGUGGCAGCUUCAUUAACUGAAGAAGAAAAAUGACCACUUGCAUCAGAAUUAUUUUUUUUCCUCUUUGAAGAUGAAGAACCCCUUUGGUUUCUAUCUGGUUGCGGCUCCGUAGCAGAAACAUCCAUGUCCUCCAAAGAGACAUUAUCAUCGCAGUCAUAGUAUUCGUUUCUUUCUUCAUUAAUAUCUGCAGUAGGUACAUCCUUAGCAUUUAUUUCUUCAAGAACGUCAGCGGCUGUUUGAGCGUCUUUCCCAGUCGCUCGAUCUUUUGCGUAUAUGGCAGUCAGUUGGUCGUAGUAAGGGAAACUACGAUGUCUGAACUGACCGGCUUCUUUAUGACUCUAUAAAAAAGAGGAAAUCAUAUUAGUUAUAAGUUUGGUAAAAAUAAGAUAAUAAAGACUUGAACUCAUUCUUACCUUUAAAUAAGAGUCCCAAACCGCAUCCUCAGCAACAACGACCUGCCUAUGGUCGUCCCAACCAAAACCGCUAUUGUUUUGGCCAUUAAACAUGUCAUACACGAUUGACCAAUCCCUUUUUAGUAACCUAAUCCUUGACUCGAUAUUAGGUCUAGCCUUCAACAUUGCAUUAGGUAAAGUCUUUUCUAACAUUUUUUCCAACUCGUUUAAGUAACCGGCUUUGAACCCCGUAUCAGUGUUAAAUGUUCCAACAUUGUGCAAGUCCACCAUGCAGGAAACCAAUGCUGCAGCUUCUUCUGAAACCCAUUUUCUUUUGGUUCCUCGAGAUGAUUGGGAAGGAACAUUUGAUUCUGAAACACCUGACAUAAUUAUCUUAAGAAAAAAAAUUAAAAUUAAGUUUAAUAUCAUGAAUCAAAAGGUGAACACUUUAUAAAAUUAAAAUUGAGUUCAAUAUCAUGAAUCAAAAACUCAACACUGUAUAAAAUUAUAACACAUGAUGAAUGAAAAGAAAUCAAACUAUAAUUCAACAAGUUUAGUACAAUACAAAAAACACAAAAACACCACCAAAGUUCCAUCCUCCAUAAAUCUAACUAAUUUCUAGAUGCUUGCCAUUCAUCAAACAUUUGGUUGGCUAGUUCCAUCUCCAAGUAGCCCAAGCAUCCGAUGGAUGAAUAUUGACGAUAUGAGGUUUAUCGUCAUCUACCACAUCACUAGGUAAUCCUUCUCCCACCUCCGCUUCAAUAGGAUCAAUACUCAUAUAGGUUCGAAUAAAAUUAUGGAGCAAACAACAUGCAUUAAUGAUUCUAUUGUGCACCCUUACAGGAUAGAAUGAUGGACUCCUAAGUAUUCCCCAUCUAAGUUUUAAUAACCCAAAGCAUCUUUCAAUAACAUUACGUGCUGAGGCAUGUUUCAUAUUAAAAAAUUCUUGCAGAGUACUUGGCUGAUAACCCUGACGCCACUCAUUCAAAUGAUAUCAUUGUCCUCUAAAAGGUGCAAGAAAUCCCUCACAAUUUGUGUAUCCAGCAUCAACUAGAUAAUAACAACCUAUUAAAAAAAUUUAAAAAUGAUUAAUUCCCCAAAAAAAAUUGAUCUUAAUGAAUAAUUCAAAGUCCUCUAACUAUCCACUUUACCAUGAGGAACUUUUAGUCCAUGUCUCCUACUAAUGGCAUCUCGAAGAACUCGCCCAUCAGCAACAGAACCUUCCCAACCAGGAAGAACAUAAACAAAUUGUAUUUUAGGUGUACAAACACCUAGAACAUUUGUUGCUAUGUCACCUUUUCGCGUUCGAUAUCUAGGUUUAUCAACCCUUGGAACCCUAAUCUUGAUGUGGGUUCCAUCAAGAGAACCUAAGCAAUUCUAUAUGACAUGUUAUAAAACCUUGAGUUAGGAUACUAAAUUUAAAUCUAAAUCAACUAAAUUAUGUACAAGCUAUAUAUAAAACUCAGUCCAAUACCUUAAACCAUUUCCACCUUCUGUCUGAAGAAUUAGCUGUAAUUGGCUCCGCUUUUUAAAUAACACAUCUUGUAAGCGUAUGACAGCAUUUAAAACACUAUGAAAUGAUCUGCUAACAGUUUCCCCGGACCUAUUGAAGUGAUGCUUGAUAACUCGAUUUUUAAGGUGAUAGGAAAUGAUAUGUAAAAACAUUGCUACUUGCUCAUCAACAAGCAUGUGCCUUGACGACUUCAAUCCCCCUAACGUUUGUAAUAUCUCACAUAGUUUGAAAAAGGAAAAUCUAUUCAUCCUAACUUGUUCAAUACAGGUCUCAUCACUAGCAUAUACAAGCCUUUUCACAUAAUCCCGUUGUGCAUAAAAAUCUAAAAUAUAGGACCUAAUCAUUGGUCUAUAAGUAUGUAGGCUAUUGAUGGCACCCAAUGUAAGUAAAAACCAACUCGCAAUUUUACAUAUUUCCAACCAUAUUGUCAAUGCAAUUCCAAUUCUUUUACGCCUCACACUUUGUGCAAUUAAAGGCAGACGAGCCAUUACUGCAAGAUAUUAAUGUGUUCCAUAUUGUCAAAUCGUAGUAAAAUGGUCACAUUUCUCCAAUCAUAAUUUCAAUAACAGUAAACUAAAAUUAAAUAAUUUAAUUGCCAAAGAACUUACAGUGAUUGUGUGAAAAGAAGACGCUGAAUUGUAGGUGGAGGAAGCAAUCAAACAAGCCGCUUCAAUAGGAAGCAAUAUCACACUAUCAAAGAAAAAUGAACAAUACUAGUUUAAAAUCUUAACCGUAUUUUUUGACAACAAUGUUACAAAUUUAACAUUAACAAACCACAUUUUUCUUUAAAGAAUUUUUAGAAGCACUUUCAAUCAUAAUAACAAUGAAUACUUGUUUUCUUUAAACAAUUUUUACAAGCACUUUCAAUCAUAAUAACAAUGAAUAUUUGUUUUUUAAUCAAGUUGUUUACUUGAUUAUAUCUAAUGAUCAAAUUUUAAUAUAUCCAAUAAUUGUUUUUUAAUCAAGUUGUUUACUUGAUUAUAUCUAAUGAUCCAAUUUUAAUAUGUUAUAAAUAUUUGUUUUUUAAUCAAGUUGUUUACUUGAUUAUAUCUAAUGAUCCAAUUUUUAUUUUAUUUUAUUUACUCAUGAUUGGAUUAGGUUUAAUUUAUAAUGGUUGAAAAGUCGAUAUAUAUGUAAUAUUAUUAAAAUAAUAUUUUUAAUUUUGUUGGAUAUAAAAAUAUUUUUAAUUAAUGCGUUGUAUAUGAAUAUACACAUUUAAUUAAUGUGUUGUAUAUGAAUAUACAUUAGUGCAAGAAAUCCUAUAAUUUCGUACAGGUCUCGUAAUUGCUCGAUUAAAAUUUUCGAACUACCUCAACUUAAGAAAUUCGAUCCCAAAUUCAAAUUUUUCAAUACCAAUAAAAAUCAACUUAUUACAUCACCACUUGCAAAAUAUAAUUAUAAAAACAUUACUAUGGAGUAAGCCAUAAAAAAAAACAGUCCAAUUUACUGGAAUUGCAACUAUAAAAAACCUCUUGAAUUGCAACUAUAAAAUACCUCUUGAAUUGCAACUAGAGCUUCAGCUUGCCAACGAUUUAUGUCUGGAGCAAAUCGGUAGCUAACAGUCCAAUACGUACAAAAGUUCACAUAGAACAUCAAUUUAUUGGAACAACAGUGGUCAGAUACACCAGGCGCAAGAAAUUUAACAAGGGUGCUAAUAUACAAAAGAAUUUACACUUCUAAGCAUUAGAAAUCAAAUUAAAAUCAACUAGUAUUAAAAUAAUUAUCACAAUAUUUGUAAAAUUUAUAAUUAUAACAAGUGGCAAAUUAUUAUUUUGUCAAUUAAAGGAGCACAAUCCUUAACUGUCAGCCUCCUGGUCACUAAAGGAACACCAAGGUACCUAAUAGGCAGCCUUCCCAUGUUAAUCCCAAUAAUUCUAAGAAUAUCCUCCAUUUCCUCUCAAGAAUCCCAGAAGCAAAAAUUUCAGUCUUUGCAGGGUUAGGCUUUAAACUAGAAAAACAAAUUUAGCAUCACAUCAGGUAAGUGCUUUGUAAGUCAUUUAACCAAAAUCCUAGUGAUACACUCACAAAAAAGCAGAGCAGUAUGAGAUUGGCCGAAACUUCCUCAUAUGACCAGGAUUUUUAACCUUGGGAACUAAUACAAUUGUGGUUGUAUUAAAAGCAGGCAACAACUUAGAGUAAUUAAAAAAACAACACUGCUCUAAUCACAUCAGCGCCUACGAUAUGCCAUGCAACUUUGAAAAAAUCCCAGGCCAAUGUUUGCAUAGUUGGGUGUUGUGAAGGUUCCGGCAAUGCGGUUAGAUGCAAAACUCCACAUGCUGAUAGGAUGAACACAGAUGAUUACAUAGACAACAUCAUUCUUGUAGCAGACACAGAACCUAAAUAAUUACAACAUGUCAUAUAAAAUAGCGCAGUUACCAAAAGGCAACCUAGGCACUUGAGGUAGACAUACUUCAGGAAGCAUUUCCAUGUUUGGUAUGCAGCUAAUGUUUGUUUACCAAUCUAGCAGUCCAUUUUGAAUUAACCCUACCAUUAAUACACAUGUAUAUUACACACUAAAAGUCAAAAGGAGAAGAGUAAUAAGAUUUCCUCAUGUAUAUAUUACACACUAAAACCAUGUCGGAUAUAUGCUUAUAUCAAAGCACUCACACAAAGUAACAUAGAAGAAGGUUACUUGACAUAAAUAGAAUGUCCUAAAAACCCUCUGAUUGAUGCAAACUUACCUCUUUUCAACUUUCAAGGUAUUGACACUAGGUUUAUGAAAAUUUCCCUUGACAGACGAUUUGAUUUCAAUUUCAACAUAUUCCAAGCCAAGACAAGCUAAAAUAAGUUAUCAUACAAUUUCGUUUCAUAUCAAUGUUAUAAAUAAAUACCCUAUCCUUAAGAAUGACAAAGCAUCUUAAAUCAGAAAAUUUCAUUCUAAAACUGCUAUUGAUAAUUUAUAUAUAAAAGAGCCAAAAUCACCUAGAAGUUGAAUCACUAGUAGAUAUAAGGAAGAAAAUGAAAGUACCUAGAAAAGAAAGCACAAACAUAAAUCCCAGAAAGAAACAAAAAUUGAAACGAAAAGAAAAGGUAAACAAUUCGGAAACAAACCAGCAAUGAACUGAAACAAAACUUAACCAAUUAGAGGGUAUGAUCUUUACAAUUAAAAGCAUCUUACAGAGCAUCGGGAAGAAGAAGACGAAGAGUUCUCCUUGUCUCUUUUCUAUACGCUUUUAACUGUAUUUUCCCCGACUCUGGGAUUUUUUUGAUUUGUCUGCUGAAAUUGAAAAAAAAGGAUCAAGAAUCAAGCAUGUUGGUCAUGGGAACAAAUUUAAUAACACUAAUCUAUUUGAGAGAAUUGUUAAAACCCCUUACAUUCCAAAAAAGGAUUAACUAAAUCUUCUUCCAGUUCACAUUGAACAAUCUGUUCCAAUUCACAUUCAUCAUUCAAUAUCUCAAACCUAUUUUCAGAACCAGAAAUAACAGCUUUCCCUUUACCCUUCGAAGAUUUCCUCUUAACCAUACUUGAAGCACUCCCCUGUAACUCAUUCGCAGCCAUUACAACUUCUAAUUUUUUAUCAAAUGAAUUAAAGUUUCAUUUUAGGAAUAUAUUAAAUCUUUGAUCACGAAAAUUGGGAUUCAUGAUUCAAUUCAACUAGUUUAAGCCCUAGUUUUCAGAAACCUUAGAUGCCAAUUUUUAACGAUAGUUACAUGAUUCAACUAAUUUGAUGAAUCAAGUCUUACUAAAACCUCAUUUUAAAGGUGAAUGCAUGAUUCAAUUUCUAGAAAUGUUGAAUCUUUCAUCAUAGACAUAAAAGGGAAAACACGUUGAAAGAAAAAUGUUAGGGCAGACAAUGUUUACCUUGAUUGAAUUGGAAAGGUUUUCUUGAGGGUUUCUUUGGAGAUACUUGUUGGGAUUUGAAGAACAGAAGUCUAUUUUUGGACUUCCCUACUCACUGCAUUUGAAGAACAGAAUGGUGCGUUUGGUUCGACAAAACAAUCAAAUGAAAGUGAACCGGGAGCGGUGGAGGUCACUUUGCUGGCAGCUUCUAUUUGAUGUUGGGAGGGAGAGUUCUGGAGGUGGAUUUUGGCUUGGGAAGAUGAGGGUAAAACAGGGCAUAGAAAUUCUAAGAAUGCUAAACGGAAGCUAAACUGAACUUUGGGCAGGGAAUAGAAAUUGGUGAGUAAGGAGGAAUACGUACGCAAUGUAAUAGGCGCGUAAUGGGCAUUAGAGCGAACCAAAUGCUGGAAUAAGUGGGGCCCACCGAUUCGGCGCGUAAUGGUAUACCCAUUACGUCGAACCAAACAAAGUGCAAUACUCAAAAUUUUUGAAUCACAAAUAUUUACAGUAUUUAGCAUAUAGAAAACAAAAUUCUGAAAUUAAAUAAUAAUUUUUAUGAUUUUACAAUUUUAAUAGUUUAUAUCUUUAUAAAAUUUAAAAGAUUAAAUUAGAUUUUUAUCAUAUUUAAGGGAGUAAAGUGUAAUUUUAUAUUUAUUAAUUUAAAAUUUUAAAAUAUUUAAAGAGCUUAAAUGAAAAAUUUUUUAUUUUAGAGGACCAUGCCAACCCCUAGCUACGCCCGAGAUUGAUUGUAGCUAUAUUGUUAAUUGAUUUACUAUUUUACUAUUUAUACUAUUAUUUAAGCUUAUGACUAGUUGAUGUCACGAGUUAAUCAAGUACCAACUUGGUUAAAGAAAAUAUGAAAAUGUCACUCUAGUCUUUUUAUUAUAAAAAAAUAAAAAUAUGUGCAUAUAAUGGGAUUUUGAACCCAUAUCAAUUACAUUAAUAAAAUUAUUAAUUUACCACUCAACUAAAACUUUAAUAUUUUUAUACAUUUUUAUUUUAUUGUGCACACUUUAUUGUUAAUUAAUUUCAAACAUUAUGCUUUAAUUAUUUAUUGUAUGUUAUAUUCAAACGCACACUUAUAUUCUAAAUAUAUGAUUCCCAAACAUACGUGUGUGAUAAGUAUACUAAUUGUAACCUAUCUUACUAAUUGUUGUACUAAUUUAUGAUUUGCUUUCUUACUAGCUAGAUCUGUUAGCCAAACUCAAAUUACCUUCCUUUUAGAUCAAUUAAUUGACUUAAACCUAACUCAAUUACAUUUCUUUCUAGAGUGAUUAACCAAAAUAAUCGACCGAACCAAUUAAACGAGAUUGUUUCUAUUAUUAUAUUUAUGAAAUCAUGAUCGUUUAGUUAUUGGUAUUUUUUGUUGGGGUUAGGUUAAUUUAAUUUUCAAUAUUUCUAAACUAAAAUUUACAUCUAGAUUUGAUGAUGAUUGCUUGUCCACAGUUCAUGGGUUUCAAUUAUACCAACCUAUUCAAUCUUCUUUUUUCCCUAAUGCAUGUGAGAUCUCUUUUUCUUUUCCUUAGCAAAGUAUUUAGGGUCUCUCUUUUUUGGUCAAAGUAAUCUUUAAAUUUAAUAAAAUAAUUUAAAAACCCUAAUCACUUCUCCAUAAUUGAUGGAACUUACAAGUAUAAUUAACAAAAAAAAAAUACUGUUAUAAAUAAUUUAUGUCUCACCAAUUAUAACUAUAGAAUCAACUUAGUAUAGAAUACAAAAAGACUAAAAUCUAAUUAAAUACAAACAAAUAACAUUAAGAGUGAAAUAUAGGAAAGAACCCACACAUGAUAUUUACGUAUUAUGAAACUCAAACUUGGGCUCUCGAGUCCCAACAAAUCUCAUUGGCUCAUAAGCAAAUAUUUUAAUGUAUAACUAAAUUCAUUACUGAAUCAGUACUCUAGAAAUUAGUUAUUCUUAAGUUGAAAGAUUUGUAUGUAUAACAAAUUUAUAUAGUUUUAGAGAAGAAGAUGGAAGAUGGCCAAAUAGAAAGGACCAUUGGAAGGAUGAUAGUGAAGUUCCAGUUCCUACUCAGUUUCUGGUAUUAAAGAUGAUGGACAAUGUGGAAGGGAAACUAUUGAACAGGUCAUAUUGAAGAAAUAGUAGGGUGAUUAUAACCAAAGUGUAUUAAGGGUCGGACCUUGGCUUUUGAAUUUUGAUGAAAUCUCUCUGCCAUUUCUGAAAUUCCAAUUUUCCUUUAAGGAAAACGAUGACGACGAUGCCAAUCUAAUUCCCAUUCAAUUAAACCCUGAUCUCGAUCACAAUGCCAUCUACUGCCCAUAUAUCAAGUUAUUAUUUCCAUUCACUUUAAAGCCUGUUGUAGUUUUGGUUCAAUUUAAUAUUGCCAUUAAACAUCAUGAUUAAUUGACACAAUAUAGCAACCACACACAUGUCCUACUUUCUUUUGGGGUUGAAAACAUCACUGUAAAUGCAAAAGGAGAGAAGGUGAAGCCUUUCAAAUUCUCCACAUGCGAAAUGGUGCUGACAUGUCAGAUGGGCUGAUGUGGCAUACUAUGUUAGAAAAAUUAUAAAAAUAUUUUAAAAUUAAUAAAACAUAUAUAUACAUUUAGAAUAAAUCUGGACAAUGGUUAUCCAAAUUCAAAUGAAUUUGGACAAAACAAAUAUAGCCUUUAUACCAAAGCAAUUAGUUUUAUAUUAGAGGUAUUAGAGUUUAGGUUCUAUUUUGUUAAUCUACUUAUACAUGUUAUCUAAUAUGUUAAUUUUGUCUCAAAUUCAAAAAUAAUUGGUGCUCAAAAUGAUUCAAACCUAAGAUGACAUAAGUUUGAGAUGACCCUAUUUGAAAAACUUAAAUGGUGGUAAUCCAAAAUGGCUCAAACAUGAAACAACUUAAACCCAAAAUUGACCCGAACCAUAAUGACUCUCUAUUUAUAGCAGUAACAGAAAGGCAAAAUAGUAAAUAUGAAAGGGAAAAAGAGUAAAAAUCGUAGGGUUACCAUUUCCGUGCAAUAGUAAAAAAUAUAUUUUGUUGCCAAAAUUUUCGCAACCGUCAAAAAUCGAAAAAUGUUUUAAAGAAAUUAUUUUUUGAAAAAUAAUAUUGAUUAAAAUUAGAGAUAAAUUAUGGAUGAAAAUAUUGAAUUAUUUCAAAUGAUGAAGAGCAACUUUAAUAAUGUAGAGGGACUGGGUCGGUGUACCGAGGAUGAUACUUCGAAGGCUACUCUCAGAAGAGUCGAUCUGUAGCUCAAGUGGUACCAUAUACCUCAACAAUUGACCUAUAUUCAAUAGGUUAAGGGUUCGAAUCUCAUCAAGGGUGAGACUCUCAUGUCGCCUCUUAGUGGUGAUUGCAAGUCCACAUACGGUCAAGGCACCCCUUUUUGUGAGUAGUACAUGGCUCUCCACGGAGUGGGGGACAAAACCCUCUCACAGGGGAUAAUACCUUCUGUUGUUGAGACACUGGAUCGGCAUCCUCAAAGACGGCACUUCAAAAACUUCUCUCGAAUAAGCCGUCCCCAUUAACAAAUAAAUAAUUACUCUACACAACCGUAUUCUAUCUUUUAAAAUUAUUAUUUUGUCCCUUAAGAUAUCCAUUAAUCUUUUUAUGUAUUUCUAAUAUACAUGCUAUAUAUAUAGUAAAAUGAUAUAUAUAUAUAAUCUACACUAAAUAUGAGAAGAUUAUAAAUAUAAUAAUCUAUAAUUACUAAUGAAAAUUUUGGUUUGUACCGUUCACAUUGGCCGAAACAUGGUACACCUACUACUGCUGCAUUAAUAAUGUUAAAAAAUAUAAAUAUUUUAACUAUUUUCUAUUAGACUAAAUAUUUAAUUGAAAUGUAUUGACCAAUAAAAAAAAUAUUACACUAGAAAGUAAAAUUUAACAUUUAAAAUUUUUUUUGGAGCAUACUUUUUCAUGUAAAAUAUAAAAAUUAAAAUAUAAUAGAAAAAAACCCACUCACCUCAUUAUCAUACAGCUUUUCUUAUUGAAAAAACCCCCCACAUCCUUCAAUUUCUUUUUUUCUUCUUAAUUUUGAAUUUUUUGAAUGAUGAGUUUUGUAUUUACUGUGGUUGUUUUAUUAAUAAAAUUAUGUUUUGGAUUGAGAAAAAAAAUUAAGAAAUUCAAAACACAAAAACGAAAGUAGAGAAAGUGAACACAAUAAUUUAUGUGAUUCGGAAUAUUUCCUACAUCCACGGAUAGAACCAAAAAUAAAAUUCACUACUAAAAAAUGGAGAUUACAAAGGAAUUACAUAAUAAAAUAAAAUAACUCACCACAAUAACUAUCCACAAACUUUGAGCAAUCUUCUAAAUAAGCAUCAACUAUACACUUUCCACAAAUUGAAAAAUACUGGCAAUAAUAAAUAACAAGUGACCAACAAUCUCAAAAUGUCAAAAACAAUACUUUAUUUCAAACAUCCUAACCUCUUAUCAAUCAUCAAUGGAGGCCUAAGAUAAGUUGAUUUGUGUAGAUAGAAAUAGAUGAUGCUAAAAGCAUUACAAAAAAAAAAACUUACCACUCCAUUCCUUUUGUCAACAUCUGUUGACCAACGACGUUGUGCUGUUGUUGUGCCCAUAAGCAGGUAUUGCCCUCUUUGGAUGCCCACCAUUCAAGGGUUUAACACCCAAAGAUACGUACACCUCCCCAGUGGUACCAUUUGGCCUUUUAUCUGCCACCAAUUUCAUGGUUCCCAAAGUUGAAAGAAAGUACAAGGCUAAAUAAAUAGCAUAUUUGGCUCCUCAACUACAACUUUGUACCAAGCACCAAAAUAUGAUCCAACACCGGAAAGGAAUGUCAGAAGAACAAAUUCUCCAUAUAACCUAUACUUGCCCUAUCAAAAACAUUAAUAACAUCACAGUUGAAGCCCUUCAAAGCAGGGGAAAUUCAUAUAAAGAUUGGUAGAAAAUAUGCCAAUCUACUGGACCGAAAAGCUGAAAAACAACAUUAAAAGAGAGUGGAUAUAUAUCAUUUGAUUCAUUUAACUCAUACCUCAAAGUCAAAAGCAAGAGAGUCGAUAUAUAGUGAGUCACUUAGUCACUGCUAUUUUUGGGAACACUCAGGCUGGAAGUGAAAACCCCAAAUUGCAGCUCAGUGAACUCUGUUGUGUUUAUGUUAAAUUGAGCUCUCUAAUGCCAUGUUGUAACGUGUACUGUAUCCCUCCAUUCAUCCUGAAAGGAUCAAUACCAUGUCUACAGUGAUGACGAAAUCUGUUGGCACUGAUAUCCUUAUGCAAUAACAGAAAUCUAUCCACAAAGAUCAACAAACUAUCACGUAAAAGACUUGUUCUUCUGAAACACCAUUGGUUAAUAGUACAAUGAAAUCUCAAAUAUUUUUAACUAAAAUCCCAUUCCCAUAUACCAAUUUCAUAGCAACUGCUUAGAAAUUAGAAGAUGCAGAUGAAAACAGAACAUUCAAUUUGCAGAAUAAAUGUUGCAGAGAUUUGACUAACCGCUUUACUAAAUCAAAUAAGCUGAAGCAGACCAGUUGAAGGUCUCCUCUAUGUUUCGCCAGUUUAGCCUUCAAUGCCUGCAAAAAGUAAAUACAAAAUAUAUAACACCGAUUUCUAUUAUCGUGUUGUUGAUGAGGACAGUCAGAUAUAUAUAAAGAAAAGGUAAUGAAAUUGAUAAAUGUUUAAAAUGCGUUUCGCACCUAUGGUUUGAGUGUGGAGAAAUCGAUGCUAGAUUUUGCUGCUUAAAUUUCAAUAUAAUUCCCUCGGGUUGACUAUUUCACCAUCAAUUCGAACAUAAGGUAUGUGGGCAAUCUUGGACCACUCUCGUCCUUUACCCCUACUGCACCCUUUUUCUAGCAACGGGCAAUCAUAAAUAGAUAGAGGCUCAAGCGAGAGAAGCAUAUCUUUUUCCGAAAGAGAUGUGAGCUUAGGACAAUCAUCGAUUCGCAAUUUUUGAAGAGAGGUCAGGUAUUGAAAGCCCUUGGAGCACAUGAAUUCCAAAUUCUCAAAAUUUUUAAUGGAAAUAGAUGUGAGAGAAGGAGGCAGCGUCAUUCCUAUCCCUUCUUCUGGAAACGACACCACAUUUGAGCAUCCUUCACCGCUGAUGUUGAGUUGCUGAAGAGAGGUGAGUCUGUUAAAUCCCCAUUGAACAAGUGAUGUAUAAAUUUUGGGUGCGUUUGAGAUUGCAAGUGAUGUGAGGUUGGCAGGGAAACCCUCUUCUGGAAAGGAUAUGUCAGCCGAACAAUAAGACACCUUUAAUUCUCGAAGGGAGGUGAAGUUGUUGAUGCACUUGGGAAGGACUCCAAAAUUUUCACAAUUCUUAAUUGCGAAAACUCUGAGAUUUGUGGUGGGCAACCCACUUUCUUCAAAUGAAACCAGAUUUGGACACAAUUUUAAUCGAAUCUCUUGAAGAUGGCUGAGCUUGUCUAAUCCCCGCGGUAAUGAUUUAAAUUUUCCAGCACCCGAAAUACGAAUGCUUUCGAGAUCAGUGGUUUCAAGGAAGUCUUGGGAUAUGCAUUCCAACACUGGACAAUCCCGAAUAAAUAGCUUUUUAAGCAUUACGGGUAACUUGGCGUUUAAAAAUAACCUACUUAGCUUUGAACACUCCAUAAUUUGGAGAUGUUGAAGCCGAUUGCAUAUAUCGCCCCUUGAUGAUAACCAUAUUAGAGAUGGACAGUAGGUUAUUUGCAAGCGCUCAAGAAGACAAGUGUUGCUACUCAUACUCAUACUCUUAUUAUUAUUUUCUUUUUCAUCAACCAAAUAUUGCAAAUUCUCGCAAUUCCCAAUCCACAGCUCUUUUAAAGCAGGAGGAAAGUUACUCUCUGCAAAAGAAACCAAGCGUGGACAGCUUUCAAGUUGCAUGGUUGUAAUGAAUGGGAAAGCAUGUAAGGCUUCUGGUAGUCUAUUGAGCCUUUCACAAUUAUUUAUUACCAGAGAUUCAACACCCGGAAUCUUAUCAAGUUGCAAUCUCUCCUCUCUGUUUCCAAAGAGACCAAUUGCGGACAAUUCUCAAUCGUGAUGAAACGAUGCCCGCCUAAUCUUAACCCAAUUUCCGAUAAAGAUCCCAACUCUUUCCAACCAGGGAUGUAGAAUGUUUCGGAGUUUGCAAAUCUCAACAUUAUCCUCUCUGCUGAAAUAUUAACAUUUGAAAUAUUUGACAAACACAUCUUUCAAGGAGGUAACCUUCUGUACAGACAAAGAACCUUCAUCCACCAAUUCUUCACACCCUCCAACCGAUAAUUCACACAGCAAGGGAAAACUUGAAAUUGAAACUACCAGUCUCUUACACUCGUAGAUUUCAAUUGUCUGCAAGGAUUGAAGGAUGGUUGGCAACCUUCCCAGCAAUAGAGGACAUUCUCUGACUGAAAGAAAACGAAGGCUGGGGAAUUUCGAUACUUGCUCAUCAUCUUCACAUAGGUCCCACUCCUCCCAAUUCAGCAUAUUGUCAAAACGCAGAGACUCUAAUGAUGCAAAAGCAUUUGAUUGAUUUUCUCCAAACAGCUCAGCACCAAUCUUNNNNNNNNNNNNNNNNNNNNNNNNNNNNNNNNNNNNNNNNNNNNNNNNNNNNNNNNNNNNNNNNNNNNNNNNNNNNNNNNNNNNNNNNNNNNNNNNNNNNUCCAAACGACUAAUUGAAAGAUCUUUUAACAACAACAACCUUCCAAUCGAUGGUAGAGAUUUGCAGUUUUUACAGUCGUGAAGCUUCAAUGACAACAUAUUUUUGAAGGAAGGAUCUGCAAUCCAAGUAGAGAAUUUUGUACCACCAUAAUUCUCAAUGACGAGUUGCUCAAGCUUUUUUGGAGGACAAAGAGAGUCCAACACCCGUUCUUCAACUUCUUUAUUCCUUGAAGCAUUUUCAAACUUUUUCCUCCAAUGCAAUACCAGUCGAUCAAUCCCCUGCUUCUCAUAUAACUUGCUUUCCCCUGCAUCUUCACCAUUAACAUUCUCCAACCCAGAAAGACGGAAAUCACCUUCGAGGUUUGACAAAUAUUUCAAAUAUCUAAUAUGACAACCAUCACCUUCCGCUAUGAUAAAAUCAGAUAACCUUUGAAGAUUCUUUAGCUUAUCAAUUCUAAAAGGAAUCCUUUCUAUUGAGUUCGCACCUCUGAUAUCAAGAUAAUGCAAGUUGACAAGAUUUCCCAUCUUUGAAGGUAACCUUUGAAGCUUGUAACACCACCUUAAUAAUAAGGUUUCUAAAUGGUAAAGAGUGCACAAAGAAUCUGGUAGGCAUUCGAUUUCUGUGCCCGAAAAAUUUAAGUAACGAAGAUGUUUUAAAUUUUCAAAAACAUCAGGCAACUCAGUGAUGGCAUACCCACUCAAAGAAAGCACCCUUAAGUAGCCAAGUCUUGGCAAUAAAUCAACCAAAACAACAUUAGUUAAAUAAUGCCGCCAAUAAUCACUAGAAAACGUUAAGGGUAAAAAAGUACGUAAAGAAUUCACUUGAUCAAAUGCUUCAAACUUCUUCACUGUGUCAUAUGUUCCAACAAUAUAAGAAGAAUGUCGAGUGCAAUGUGAGAACUUCCAUUUCUUAUCACCCUCUAAUUUUGAGCAUAUUUCCCCUGCAACUACUUGAGCUAAAUCAUUGAUAAGGUCAUGCAUUACGAAUCGGGACUUAUCUUUACUGGAUGUCUCAAAAAAUGACCUGGACACUAGAUCUUGAAAAUAUUGAUUUCCGAGAUCUUUAAUUUGAGGCAUAGCUUUUUGUUGCAAGAGACCUUCUGCUCUCCAUAACAAGAUAAUUUCUUCUUCCUCAAAUUCAUAAUCUUUAGGAAGUAUGGAGCAAUAUGCAAAACAUCGUUUCAAGUCUGACGGAAGAUGAUGGUAGCUUAAUCGCAAAGCUGGAAUUAUGCCACACUGCUCUUCUGGUAAGUUCCAUAUCUCACUCUCAUAUAUUCUUUCCCAUCCUGCAUAGUCUUUAACUGUGCGUAGCAAGCUUCCAAUGGCUUUUGCAGCCAAAGGUAAGCCAUUGCACCUUCUAACAAUUUUCUCUCCAAUUUCUUUAAACUGGAGAUGUCCAUCGAAAUUUCUUGCUUUUAAUGCAUGCUGUGUAAAUAUGGAUAAACAAUCAUCAUCCGAUAGUUUAUCCAAAUGAAAAGCUUUGAGCGGAUCCACAAUAGAUGAAACAAUUCGAAGACGAGUGGUUACAAUGAUAUGGGUCCCUGUUCCAAACGGAGACCGUAAGAUGGUCCAAUCAUCAUAAUUCUCGUUCCAAAUGUCAUCUAAAACAAGCAAGAAUCUUUUCCCAGACAACUUCUCCUUCAACUUAACUUGAAGUAAAUUCAAGUCAUUCUCGUCACGAGAGUCAGGAUCGAUGGAUUUUAAAAUUGUCCUGGUUAUAUUAACUGCGUCAAAAUGAUCAGAAACGCAUACCCAGGCCUUGUGGUGAAAAGACUGGUUGAUGGUGGCAUCAUUGUAAACAAGCUGAGCAAGAGUUGUUUUACCCAUCCCUCCCAUGCCGACGAUGGAAAGGACUGAAACUCCGUUGGAGUUAUCACCUUCGAGAAACUCAAUCAUUUCUGUCUUCUCCUUGUGUCUGCCAACAUACUCCACAACUCCAUCCAGUACGGAAGUUGGUUGCAGCCUAGGUUGCUUUCCCUUGGAGGUUGGAGCUUGAGACAAGAUCUCACUCAACCCCAAACUACUUCUUCGAGUAGUCAAACUAUUCAGUCUAGCAGUGAUCUCUUUCACCUUCGGAAUCAUGGAAUUCUUAAACAGGAAAGAAGUGGGACUGAAAUUACUACUGGUACAGCAGGUAGGAAUGAGUUUCCGUACCUUGCUAGUGCUGGCUAGAGCUUGCGAUUUGUUGAGCUUGAGACGUAACUCUUCAUAAGCGAACUCAUCCAAGAUGUCAUCCACAUCGUAAGCCAAGUCCUGGAGAUCCUCCAACCAUUUCUUCACACCCAUAUUCUUGAUCUGCUUCUCCUCUGCAUCGUCCAACACUGCUUGGAUAUCAGGCAAUAUGGACUGCCACUGCUUGAGCUGCUGGUGGAGUUGGUUGUGAUUAGCAACAAAUUUGAGUGCAGAGUCGAGCGAUUUGCCCAACAACAGGUCCAGGAACCCAGAAAGAGCAGCCUCUCCAAUGACAGACAUGGUGGAAUUAUGAGAAAGAAGAUGAAGAGAGAAAUGAACAAAGCCAAAAUGGAAAGUCAGGGAACAAAAAAAAGAAAGAAAGGGAAAUGGAAUCUGCAAAAUUAGAGAAAGUUGAAGAAGUUGGCACUAUUUUUUAAGCAUCCAAUAAUUCAGACUACGAGUUGGGAAGGCAGUGGAUUGUGAAAAAGAGGGACCCCAAGUGGUUGUUGAUCGGGAAAAGACAACGAAAGUGGAAAUUUUUCAUCUAUUUUAAUCAUUAAAUUUAUAUAUUUUUUAAAUCACUUUAAAAUAUAUAGAAAACUUUUAUACAAGAUCAGUUAAAAACAUUAAUUUUUUAUUUAUUUUGAGGUGAUAUAAUAAAAAAAUACAAAUUUAACAGAUAAGUAUUUUUCAUAAAGUUAGAUAGCUAAAUCUUUAUGUAUUUUUUUUACGAGACCAAAGUGAAUUAAAGGGUUUGUAACUCUAAAAUAGAUGUACGUUCUUAUAGCUUCAUGCACUAUUAGUUAGAAUGCAUCCAACACAAAUCUUAAGAUUGAAUUAAAUUCUGGAAAAAAUACUAAUACAAAUAAAAAUAUUAAAAUUUAGAAUAAAAAUAUUGAUGUGACAUUAAAUUAUUAAAAACGGAUACAAAUGUCAUUGUAUCUCAAUUUUAUACUAUCAUUCCUCCAAAAUAAUUAUAUUUUUACAUCAUGUUUUUAUAAUAUAUGAUGUGAUCAUAAAUUAAACUCUUAAUUAUAGUGAUUAAUGUUCCAUUUUUGCAACUAAAAUCAAUAAAAAAUGAAAUUAAUAAAUUGUAUUUUUUAUUGGAAAACAUCUUUAUAUUAAUUAAUUAUGAGAAAACCUUUUUUAUGGAGAAGUGUGUUUAUACUAAUUAUAUUAUAGAAAAGUAUGUUUGAUAAUAGGCCCAAUUGAUAUAUUUAUUGGGCUUAAUUUUAAUAAGUUCUUUAAUAAGAUGUGAUUAAUUUUAGAUUUAUUAUUUGAUUUUUGAUUCGGUAUAAAAAUAAACUCAAAAAGUGAAAAAGAGUCGGAAAUACGAGUUAUCGUAAAAGUUUUGGAUUGAAGAACUAGAUGGACCAUGAUCUAUCUUUUGAAAACUUUAUUUUGGGAAUUUAUUAGUAAGAAAUAACAGUACUUUUAUUUUUUUAUUAGGAUAAUGUUUUAAUAUUUUAGUAUUAUUUAGAUAACCCUAGAUUAAAGAGUUUAAGUAGGAUGAGGCAUUUUGAGUUUUAAUAAUAUUUUUUAUGUAUAUUAUACUUUUUUGUUUUGGGCAGAAAUCGAUUGCAAAUGGAAUUUCUUUUCUUCUAUAUUUCUAAUUAUGUUCUUUCUUUUUCUAUUGUAAAAUAUUUCGCCGCCACGCCACCUUCCCAUUUUUUCCCUUAUUUGUUUGUUUCUUUUAUUUAAUUCUUGUUGAAUUAUUAGAUGUAUGUAAAUUUCAGGUAAAACCGAAUUAAUUUGGUUAACGGACUGAAUUCAAUUAAUCAAACGGUUAAUCGAAUUAAUUCAGUCAGAAAUUAAUUAAUAAUUUUUUGAAAGUUUAGUUAACGGUUAAUUAGAUAAUUAUUGAAGUGAACAAAGACAAAAUGGAAACCCAGGGACUAUAAUAGAAAGAAAGAGAGAUGGAUUCUGUGUAAUUAGUGAAAGUUGAAGAAGUUGGCACAAAGGUUUUUUUUAGCAUCCAAUAAUUCAGGCUAUCACUUGGAAGACAUUGGAUUAUGAUAAAGAAGAUGGACCCCAAGUGGCUGUUGAUGGGAAAAGACAAUGAAAGUGGAAAUUAAAGAGGUCCCAGUCCAUUAAAUUAUUGCACCCUCCCAUUUUUUCUGUCCCCGCAGUUAAUUUGUAUAGCUUUUCUUUUAGGCAUAAUGAUCACUCCUAAUUUGCAUAAAAAAUAAUUUUAACUCUUAAAUUUAUUUUACUACCAAACCACUCUAAAAUAGACCCACAUACAUGUGAAUUAUCAUCUAGAAGAUACAUCAACAUCUAAUUGAUUUUGAAUUUUUUUUUAAAAUUUAUUUUUUAACAAUAAAUUUUAAUUUUAAAAAAAAGUUUUUGUAGUUUUUUUAUUUUUAAAAUUUUUAAAAAAAUAAUUAAGUGAACGUUAGUAAAGUUAAAAAAGUUACAAAUUUAAGGGCUAAAAAAUAAAAAUUUAAAUAGAGAACUAAAAUAAUUUUUUUUAGUUGAAAAGUUAAAUAAACUAUUAUGUCUUUCUUUUAUUGGACCAAAAUGAAUUAAAGUGUCUGUAAUUCUGAAAUGGAUGGACUUAGUAUUUGGAUACAUUAUUAUUUUUACUGGAGAUCAGGAAUAGAUGGAUUUUUCAUGGGCCCAUUUAACUGAUAGGUUUUAUUACCACUUUAGCAACUUUGGUGAUUUAGUCAGUUACUCGAGAUUCGUAAUUAUUUUAUUUAUUGAUGCUAGCAAUGUACAGUGGUCAAAUAGGAUCAUUUCUUCUUAAAACCUUUUAUUUUUUUCAUCAUGUGGGAGUUUGAAUUAAUUCUCAUUUAUCUACUUCUAUCCAUGAUGGGGAAGAAACGUCUAUACUCGGCUACAAAAUUUAUUUUGUACACUGCAGGCGGUUCGGUUUUUCUAUUAAUAGGAGUUUUGCAUCCCAGUUUAUACGGUUCUAAUGAACCAACAUUAAAUUUUGAAAUAUUAAAUAAUCAAUCAUAUCCUAUAUUGAAUUUCUUAUUACUUUUGCUCUCAAAUCGUUGAUUAUAUACUCUUACAUACAUGGUACUAUAUAAAAAAAUUCAAUAAAUAAAAAAUGAAUAAAAUUAUUAAAUAUUAAAAUAAUAUAAUAUAAAUAUUUAAAAAAAUUAAAAAUAAUAUGGACAUGGCUAAAAUAGGUUUGGAUUAAUAUUUUGUAAAUAUAGGCAGGCUUGAGCAACAUUUUAGGAUCAAAUUUCGGGCUGGGUCGGGCUUAGAUAAACAUAAAGUAUAUUAAUAUCAUAUUUAGACCCAACCAGCCCAUGAAUAUAUCUAGUAACAGGGACCUUUGUUUUUGAAUUUUGUCAUAGCUUUUGUCCAUUGUCCCUAUUUCCAAGUAAAAUGAACGUUGAGCUCCAUGUCAAUGGCAUCAAAAUAAUUAUUUCCAUUAACAUCAAAAAUUUCCAUGUCAUGCCUAUCUAUAUCGUGUUGUGCAUGUAUUGUGUGUGAGCUUUUUUUUCGCCCUGUUUUUGAAGAAUCAUGUUGGUGCUUCCUAGUAUUUUAAGUAAUGGGUGGAGACAGAAAAAUUGAAGUGGAGUAGUAACUUGGAAGAAGCCAUGUUAGUUGGACCAGUUUUUUUUCUUUAAUGGCUUGGAUUAUAUGGAAUUCAUUUUACAAAGAGUUGAGCUUUUAUUAAUGGGAAGCAACCAUGGUGGUUGGUUCCGCACCAUGGUUUCAGUUGUACCUGCCAGUGCCACUGUUCCAGUGAUACAGCACAACAACAAGGAAUACAUUUUUCCACAUCGGUGAAAAUUUCAGUCUGUUCUGUUUACAUUGGCUCAUUUCGAUCAAUUCAAGUUGCACCGACCGAAACAUGAUGCAUUGGCUGUUACAUGAAUAAUUUAAAAAAUGUAAGUUUUUAAUACCUAGCAAUAAUAAUUAACUAGAGACCAACAUUUGUUUUUACAAUCUCGAAAUGUCAAAAACAAUACUCUAUACAAAACAUCAUCAAUGGAGGACUAAGACAGGUUCAUGAUUUGUGUAGAUAGAAAUAGAUUACACUAAAAGCAUUAGAAAAAGAACUUAUCACUCCAUUCCUUUUGUCAACAUCUGUCGACCAAAGAAGUGCUGUUGUUGUGCCCAUAAGCAGGUAUUCUCCUCUUUGGAUACCCACCAUUCAAGGUUUUUCACCCAAAGGUACGUACACCUCCCCAGUGGUACCAUUUGGCCUUUUUUAUCUGCCACCAAUUUCAUGGUUCCCAAAGCUGAAUGAAAGUACAAGGCUAAAUAAAUAACAUAUUUGACUCCUCAACCACAACUAUGUACCAAGCACC